GCCCUACGGGACGCAGCAGUGAGGAAUAUUGGUCAAUGGGCUUACGCCUGAACCAGCCAAGCCGCGUGAGGGAAGACGGCCCUAUGGGUUGUAAACCUCUUUUGUCGGAGAACAAAACCCGGGACGUGUCCCGGACUGCGUGUAUCCGAAGAAAAAGCAUCGGCUAACUCCGUGCCAGCAGCCGCGGUAAUACGGAGGAUGCGAGCGUUAUCCGGAUUUAUUGGGUUUAAAGGGUGCGUAGGCGGAAUGCCAAGUCAGCGGUAAAAUCGCGGGGCUCAACCUCGCUCCGCCGUUGAAACUGGCGU
rnacentral:rRNA from 1 species